GAUGAAGAACGCAGUGAAAUGCGAUACGUAAUGUGAAUUGCAAAUUCAGUGAAUCAUCGAGUCUUUGAACGCACAUUGCGCCCCCUGGUAUUCCGGGGGGCAUGCCUGUCCGAGCGUCAUUGCUGCCCUCAAGCACGGCUUGUGUGUUGGGCUCCGUCCCCCCGGGGACGGGCCCGAAAGGCAGCGGCGGCACCGAGUCCGGUCCUCGAGCGUAUGGGGCUUUGUCACCCGCUCUGUAGGCCCGGCCGGCGCCAGCCGACAACCCAUCAUCCUUUUCAGGUUGACCUCGGAUCAGGUAGGGAUACCCGCUGAACUUAAGCAUAUCAAUAAGCGGAGGA
rnacentral:misc_RNA from 1 species